GAAGAACAUUUUUUACACCCAAAAGUUAAGGAUUGGGCAAUCUGAAAGUUUGCUUUAUUAUUUCAGACGACUUUUGGUAGAGGAUAAAUAUCUGUCUGAUCAAGAAGGAUAUCUGCAAGAACUAGGAACUUUGCGUUAUAUGAUGCGUUCAUGCGAAACAAGAAGAGCUGCUUACAUAUAAAACGAGAGCUGGCAAAAUAUGAAUUAUGAAAAGCGUGCCGGCCGCACAAUGUGGCGUGGGUUCUAUUUAGAACCAAGAAGAUGGCCAGAAAAUUUGUUAAUUUGUGGCAACACGAAAAUUGCAAGGAUGAUGAAAGGAACGACCCGGGCAUAGAUGCAGAGUCCCCCGGGCAAUUGAUAAAGAGACUUUGUGGCGCUUUCAAAUGACAGCUUAACAAAUCUGAGAGCUGGAGGGCUUUGAACUUUGAGUGCGUCAUUACAGAGACAGGCCCAGAUCCGGGCAGCUUGUGAUUAACUGGAAGCACAGGAUUAAAACAUUUGGGAUGCCUGCACAGUGCUCUUCAUGUGGAAAAUGGAUGAAUUCUACAACGUGUAAUUGCACUGCGCCUGCAGGCCUUAAGGCCAUGGUCAGAUGCCCGAGGAGUUGGCAUCUGGCAUCUGGUAUUUGGUAUUUCAAUUAUAACAUUCGCUGCGAUAUGCCUCUAAUUGAUUGACUGAACCAAGCUGAUGGCGGAGGUGCUGAUAAUAUUUAUACCACGUCCCGGCCCAACGAGCUAUUUAAUUGCAUUUUCCACAACAACGACAACGAACUGCAACUGCAACAGCAGCAAUAACAAUGGAGCAGUCGGGCUGCAUUUCCACGCUUUAAUGUUGCAGGCCGUGCACGUUUCCAGCCUGGCCAUUACAUAAACCAUAAGCACCAUCAGCAGGCAGCAGUCAUAGACCAGUCCCAGUCCCAGUCCCAGUUCCAGUCCCGGCUACGUCCCAGUCCCCGGUCCAUUGCCCAUCUUAGGCGGCGUUCUGUGAGCCCAGAGCGAGGCGCAGCGCUUGUUUAUGCCACUUCGGGGCCAUUUUCACAGUUUGCUUUUCUUUUUUGUUUUUUUUUUUUUUUUGGUUUGGGCCACAAACUAAAUUAUCUGCGGGCAACGGUAAACGCGAGAGCACUUUAGCAAUAUCUUCUCCAUUGGCAAUUCCCUCAGCUCCGAACAAGUGCAACGUGGCACAUUUUCAGUUCAGCGCAAACUCACGAUUUUCACCCCAGGCGGGGGCGGAGGCUGCAACUGGGGCUGCCUGUAGGCCCAAAUGUGAAAAAACCCGCCAGGCAACUUUUUAAUGCUGGAUUAUCCACAACAAGAACAACAACAACCACAACAACAAGAACUGCAUCCAUCAACUGGAGCACCCUUACUUUGCCUUCGUGGUUGUCAACAAACUUUCAACUAGGAAGCAAAGCAACUGGCGAAAUAAAAAACGAAAAAAGAGCUUAACUGAUGCACGCCGAAGGCAAAAUACCCUUGCCUAGAACAGACAUAAGGGAUAUGAUAUAAAAGUCCGAUCAGGAUAGAUACAAAGUGAAGAAAAAAUGUACACUAUCUUGACUGUUUGUAACUAUAUACUAAAAGAUAUAUCAGUCCAAGUCAGAGCUGAAUAAGGCUUGUAAGAUUUAGGUAUAAGUUACCUUCAGAUGCAACUAAACUUUGGACUAGAGCUUGACUCGGAUAAUGGACAACUUGUUUGCCUAGAAGCGGAUGAUGAGACAUAUACAGAAUCGGCUCUUGUUACUGGUCAUAUAUAUGUUCUAUGAUAUUAGAGAUAUCCCCUUCCGGGAAAAAAUAGAAAUGCCCUCUGUAAGAGUAUACGAAAAAAAAAAACGAAGGCGAUGCGAAUAUCUCAACAGGCGGCGCCAGUUGAAUGAACUCCGGGAGAGCAUUGAAGCUUCCAGCUGCAACGGUUGUGCCAGUGCUGAAAAAUGGUUCACUUUUUUUGUGGUUGCUGUUGUUGGUCUAGCCCACAGGUAAUGAUGUUGUUGCCAGCUCCCUGUGAAAGGAAGCGCAGACGUGCAAAACGAGGCCAGACACACGGGGAGCCACAGCCAGGCAACGAACAAAGCGGCAGCAGGAAACGAGCCACAAUAGACAACAUGGUGCAAGUAGCAAGAGGCAAGCGGCAGGCAGCAGGAACUGUGCUGUGCCGCGUCUGCCUUAAUCCACAAUCAA